UCCUACGGGAGGCAGCAGUGGGGAAUAUUGCACAAUGGGCGCAAGCCUGAUGCAGCGACGCCGCGUGAGGGAUGACGGCCUUCGGGUUGUAAACCUCUUUCAGCAGGGAAGAAGCGCAAGCGACGGUACCUGCAGAAGAAGCACCGGCUAACUACGUGCCAGCAGCCGCGGUAAUACGUAGGGUGCGAGCAGUUGUCCGGAAUUAUUGGGCGUAAAGAGCUCGUAGGCGGCUUGUCGCGUCGGUCGUGAAAGCCCGGGGCCUAACCCUGGGUCUGCGGUCGAUACGGGCAGGCUAGAGUUCGGUAGGGGAGAUCGGAAUUCCUGGUGUAGCGGUGGAAUGCGCAGA
rnacentral:rRNA from 1 species